rnacentral:rRNA from 1 species
AGUGGCGAACGGGUGAGUAACGCGUUGGUGACCUGCCCCAAAGUGUGGGAUAACAGUCCGAAAGGAUUGCUAAUACCGCAUGUGGUCAUUGGUUAGAAACUAAUGACUAAAGCAGCAAUGUGCUUUGGGAGGGACCUGCGUCCCAUCAGCUAGUUGGUGAGGUAAUGGCUCACCAAGGCGACGACGGGUAGGGGACCUGAGAGGGUGACCCCCCACAAUGGAACUGAAACACGGUCCAUACACCUACGGGUGGCAGCAGUAGGGAAUAUUGCUCAAUGGGCGAAAGCCUGAAGCAGCAACGCCGCGUGCGCGAUGAAGGUCUUCGGAUCGUAAAGCGCUUUUCUGCGAGAUGAGAAAGGACAGUAUCGUAGGAAUAAGUCUCGGCUAACUACGUGCCAGCAGCCGCGGUAACACGUAGGAGGCGAGCGUUAUCCGGAUUCACUGGGCGUAAAGCGCGUGCAGGCGGUUUGGUAAGUUGGGCGUGAAAGCUCCCGGCUCAACUGGGAGAGGUCGUUCAAUACUACCAAACUAGAGAAUAGAAGAGGAAGAUGGAAUUCCCGGUGUAGUGGUGAAAUGCGUAGAUAUCGGGAGGAACACCAGUGGCGAAGGCGGUCUUCUGGUCUAUUUC